rnacentral:rRNA from 1 species
CCUACGGGAGGCUGCAGUGGGGAAUAUUGGACAAUGGGCGAAAGCCUGAUCCAGCCAUGCCGCGUGUGUGAAGAAGGCCUUCGGGUUGUAAAGCACUUUCAGUGGGGAAGAAAGCCUUGGGGCUAAUACCCUCGAGGAAGGACAUCACCCACAGAAGAAGCACCGGCUAACUCCGUGCCAGCAGCCGCGGUAAUACGGAGGGUGCGAGCGUUAAUCGGAAUUACUGGGCGUAAAGCGCGCGUAGGCGGUCUGAUAAGCCGGUUGUGAAAGCCCCGGGCUCAACCUGGGAACGGCAUCCGGAACUGUCAGGCUAGAGUGCAGGAGAGGAAGGUAGAAUUCCCGGUGUAGCGGUGAAAUGCGUAGAGAUCGGGAGGAAUACCAGUGGCGAAGGCGACCUUCUGGACUGACACUGACGCUGAGGUGCGAAAGCGUGGGUAGCAAACAGGAUUAGAUACCCCUGUAGUC